GCCCCAAUAGCUCAAGAGGAAAGUAGCACAUCUCUCCUAAAGAUGGUAUCCACGUUCGAGUCGUGGUUGGGGUA
rnacentral:tRNA from 2 species